rnacentral:rRNA from 1 species
UACGUAGGUGGCAAGCGUUGUCCGGAUUUACUGGGCGUAAAGAGCGCGCAGGCGGUCGUGCAAGUCGCGUGUGAAAGCCCCCGGCUCAACUGGGGAGGGUCACGCGAUACUGCUCGACUCGAAGGCAGGAGAGGGAAGUGAAAUUCCCGGUGUAGUGGUGAAAUGCGUAGAUAUCGGGAGGAACACCAGUGGCGAAGGCGACUUCCUGGCCUGUUCUUGACGCUGAGGCGCGAAAGCUAGGGUAGCAAACGGG